GAGGGUAUAGCUCAAUUGGUAGAGCACAUGCUUAACAUGCAUGAGGUCCUGAGUUCAAUCCCCAGUACCUCUG
rnacentral:tRNA from 1 species